GAUGAACGCUAGCUACAGGCUUAACACAUGCAAGUCGAGGGGCAGCAUGAACUUAGCUUGCUAAGUUUGAUGGCGACCGGCGCACGGGUGAGUAACACGUAUCCAACCUGCCGAUGACUCGGGGAUAGCCUUUCGAAAGAAAGAUUAAUACCCAAUGGCAUAGUUCUUCCGCAUGGUAGAACUAUUAAAGAAUUUCGGUCAUCGAUGGGGAUGCGUUCCAUUAGGUUGUUGGCGGGGUAACGGCCCACCAAGCCUUCGAUGGAUAGGGGUUCUGAGAGGAAGGUCCCCCACAUUGGAACUGAGACACGGUCCAAACUCCUACGGGAGGCAGCAGUGAGGAAUAUUGGUCAAUGGACGAGAGUCUGAACCAGCCAAGUAGCGUGAAGGAUGACUGCCCUAUGGGUUGUAAACUUCUUUUAUACGGGAAUAAAGUGAGGCACGUGUGCCUUUUUGUAUGUACCGUAUGAAUAAGGAUCGGCUAACUCCGUG
rnacentral:rRNA from 1 species